rnacentral:rRNA from 1 species
UACGUAGGGGGCAAGCGUUGUCCGGAUUUAUUGGGCGUAAAGAGCGCGUAGGCGGCCAAGUAAGUCUGCUGUGAAAACUCGAGGCUUAACCUCGAGCUGUCGGCGGAAACUAUUUGGCUAGAGUCCGGAAGAGGAGAAUGGAAUUCCCGGUGUAGCGGUGAAAUGCGCAGAUAUCGGGAAGAACACCCGUGGCGAAGGCGGUUCUCUGGGACGGUACUGACGCUGAGACGCGAAAGCGUGGGGAGCGAACAGG